rnacentral:rRNA from 1 species
AUUGAACGCUGGCGGCAGGCCUAACACAUGCAAGUCGAGCGAGCGGCGGACGGGUGAGUAAUGUAUGGGGACUGCUCGAUAGAGGGGGAUAACUACUGGAAACGGUGCCUAAUACCGCAUACUAUCGGAUAACCCAUAUGGGAUUAGCUAGUGGGUGGGGUAAAGGUUCACCUAGGCCACGAUCUCUAGAAGGUCUGAGAGGAUGAUCAGCAACACUGGGACGGAAACACGGCCCAGACUCCUACGGGGGCAGCAGUGGGGAAUGUUGCACAAUGGGCGAAAGCCGGAUGCAGCCAUGCAGCGUAUAUGAGGAAGGCCUUAGGAUUGUAAAGUACUUUCAGCGGGGAGGCGUUACCCGCAGAGAAAGAGCCGGCUAACUCCGUGCCAGCAGCCGCGGUAAUUC